GAUGAACGCUAGCUACAGGCUUAACACAUGCAAGUCGAGGGGAAACGGGCGCCAAGCUUGCUUGGCGCAGUCGUCGACCGGCGAAUGGGUGAGUAACGCGUAUCCAACCUGGCCGUAAGCAGAGAAUAGGCUUCCGAAAGAAAGAUUAAUGCUCUAUGUAGUCACCCGAAGGCAUCGGAAGGUGACCAAAGAUCCGUCGCUUACGGAUGGGGAUGCGUCUGAUUAGGCAGUUGGCGGGGCAAAGGCCCACCAAACCGACGAUCAGUAGGGGUUCUGAGAGGAAGGUCCCCCACAUUGGAACUGAGACACGGUCCAAACUCCUACGGGAGGCAGCAGUGAGGAAUAUUGGUCAAUGGGCGAGAGCCUGAACCAGCCAAGUAGCGUGCAGGACGACGGCCCUAUGGGUUGUAAACUGCUUUUGAAGGGGAAUAAAGUGAGCGACGUGUCGUUCAUUGCAAGUACCCUUGGAAUAAGGACCGGCUAAUUCCGUG
rnacentral:rRNA from 1 species